rnacentral:tRNA from 1 species
GCGAGCGUAGUUCAACGGUAGAAUAGUACUCCUUUGAAGAUACUUUCAGAUGCAGAUUCGACUCCUGCCGCUCGCA